rnacentral:tRNA from 1 species
UCCGCCAUAGCUCAGUUGGUAGUAGCGCAUGACUGUUAAUCAUGAUGUCGGUUCGAGUCCUACUGGCGGAG